AUGUAUAGCUAUGUAUCCGACCGAUCAAGUUGUGUGCAGACGUGUAUAGCAUGUGGCAUUGCUAUCAACUGGCAACCAAGAUCAUGUUGCAUUCUGAAUUUCCACUUCGUCGUGUCCAUCCAUGACUUAAAGCUCGAAAAGGCGUCAGGUGUGAUUUGUUCAGCUGUUCUACUUCGGUUGCUCCUACAAAUACGCAGUUCUGUGUCUUUGUCACUAUGCUGUGUAGUUGUUCUGGAAUCCCAUCCCCAAUCCGUAUUGUGUCUUCCUGCAUUGCUUAGCCAUGGCCAUACCCUUCAAAGGAGGUCUGUAAAUUGUAAUCGUGCAUUGAGAUAG
rnacentral:rRNA from 1 species